rnacentral:lncRNA from 1 species
GCAACUACAGGUCAAGACAUGACGGAAGUACUGUAAGGGAAGAAAAUUAGUCAUCAACUGUUUGUGCAGGGUUUCACUAGGAGGAGCCAUACCGGAGAGCACAACCGUUAAAGGACUGAGAAUGGCACAGAGCCACCUCAGUCCAGGUUGGAAAACACAGGAGAAGAAAAGGAGUGAGUAAUGAGUCAGACUCCCUUUGGGAGCUGCCCAGGGUUCCUGUCAUUGCCGUGUUCCUUCAGGAAGCUCAGAGGUCCCUGUGGGCUUGUGGAGAAGAUGGUUAUGGAUCAGCCUCCAGUUCUGGACUGAUGCAUGCCCCAGAGGAGUAUCUGGCUUGGCAGACUCUUGCAGUCGUAUCUGUUCUGAACUCGUCAGAGGUAGCUCAAAAAGAAAUCCAUGAGGUGGCCCCAACUCUCUGUCCUCUCCUUCAAACCCCUGUUGAAAGACCAUUAAAAAGCUACAUGACACUGAAGCACAGCAUCGGCAUUAAGAACACUGCACGUAUAAGCAUUUAUCCAGCCAGAGAAAAGUAACAUUAACCUGACAGACUGCCUCCAGAAAUAGAGGAAUAUACGUAUGGGAAAGAAAUGCUUCAUUUUUGAUGGUAAAAAUGUAAGUGGACCCUCCUGAAGGGAUGUAAUUAAAAAAUGUAGCAGGAGUAGGGAGGGGAAACAUGGAUGAUGAAAGGCAGUUUUAUCCCAGUAGAAGGCUUCCUUCUUCAGCAUUUAUGGGGAGGCUCUGUAGCUGCAGGGAGACUAAAGCAGAAGAGGGUAAUGAGAGAGACAUGAAGACUGGGUAUUAAAUGUGAGAAGAGAGCAGCUGGAUGUGGAAAUGAGGAUAAGGCUUUGAACUGAGCACGUGGGCAAAAGACUGAAGCUAAUCAGCUGCAUUCAGGAGGUGGAGAGCUAGGCUGGGGGACCUAAGGGGGACUGUGACAAGAAAUGCAGACACGAGAGACCAAUGCUUUCAGGUAAGAGGCUGGUAGAGAAAAGGGAAGAUUGGUGACUGGAACUGGCUGGGAAAAUAGAAUGGCAGUUGUCUGAGAGAGAAAGCAGUGCUGGAGAAUAAGGAUACAGAGAUGUAGAAGGAACAGAAAUGGGACAGGUGUGGUUUGAGGUGUGUAAGACAGACUUGGUGUGGAAAAACAUCUGUAAGAGACUGCAGCCGCUUCCCUAGCCAUUCCAGAUAACAAGGCCCCUGUGUCAGGGCACUGCUCCGAUGUCAUCCCACAGCAAAAGUGGCCUCUGGUCCACAGAGGAGUUGGCAACUUUGCAUUGCUAUAAAUUGCCCCAUCAUCUCAGAGGGUAUGAUAAAUGCAUAUGGAGAAGCUAAAAGCUAACCUCACUAGUGUGAGGCAUAGAGGUGUUAAUAUGAUGCCACAUAAUAGAUUUUUUUUUUCCACUUUGCUUCAUUAAGAACCUAGGAAAUUACCUACAAACACUCUGUUAAAAGAACUCUGUGAGCUGCCAAAACAAACACUCAGAAGUUGGAAAGUGCCAGAGCUGAAGCUGUGUAGCUUUUUCCCCAUUUGCACAUAUUCAUAGGCAACACAUCUUUAUUUGCAGGAAAAGGUACUCUUCUCCCACAGAAACUGUGUCAGUCUGUGCUCAGCCCUGGGUUCUGUCAAGAUGAUUCAGGAUUGUGUAAGAGGUGCCAUAGUCUACCCACACUAUCUAUCCAUUUGCUGUAGGUUCAAUAAGGCUUUUUGAAUACGUUUGAUUAGGGCAAAUCAGUGGGGUAUAUCUUGCUUAAAGCUGUUGAAUACUAAUCUGAAGAACUAGAUACAACCCUGCCUGACUGUGCCACAAAUCUCUUCUACUCCAAUAAUAAGUUCUUACACCAAGUUUUGCACACAUGGUGACUAAUUGCACGUUCCCAGUUACGUGGAUACCUGGCUUAAGACUCCAGGGCCUGAUCUGGAGAAGUGCUGAGCACUCGCAGCUGCAGCAGAACUCAAUGGGAUCUCUGCUCUGAAUAUCUAAAGAAUUACAUAAUGGUAAGUACCCUGACAAAUUAGAACCUGGAGUCUUAAAUAAAGCACCCCAAAUCACUGCA